rnacentral:lncRNA from 1 species
GGGAAUGUACCGGUGGGGGUGGUGGUGAAAAGACAGGUGGUGGAGGAGAGUAGACAGGCGGAGGUGGUGGGGAGUGGACUGGCGGUGGAGGAGAGUGGACAGGAGGUGGCGGAGAGUGAACCGGUGGUGGUGGAGAGUGGACUGGGGGAGGAGGAGGUGGCGGGGAGUGAACCGGUGGAGGAGGUGGUGGUGGAGAGUGAACCGGUGGUGGUGGAGAGUGAACUGGUGGAGGUGGUGGUGGUGGUGGUGGAGAGUGAACCGGUGGUGGUGGAGAGUGAACUGGUGGAGGAGGUGGUGGCGGAGAGUGGACCGGUGGUGGUGGGGAAUGGACUGGUGGUGGUGGAGAGUGGACCGGCGGUGGAGGAGAGUGAACCGGGGGUGGAGGAGAGUGGACCGGUGGUGGUGGAGAGUGGACUGGCGGUGGGGGAGAGUGUACCGGCGGUGGAGGAGAGUGAACCGGUGGUGGUGGAGAGUGGACUGGGGGUGGCGGAGAAUGAACCGGCGGUGGUGGUGAGUUAACCGGUGGUGGCGGAGAGUGAACUGGUGGUGGUGGAG